GACGUACUCCCUCCGUCCAGAAAUAUUUGUCAUCAAAAUAGAUAAAAGAGGAUGUAUCUAGAUGUAUUUUAGUUCUAGAUAUAUCUUUUUUUAUUCAUUUUGAUGAUAAUUAUUUAGAGACGGAGGGACUAGUAG
rfam:Triticum aestivum genome assembly, contig: Triticum_aestivum_CS42_TGACv1_scaffold_146888_2BS